rnacentral:rRNA from 1 species
UUAAAAAGCUCGUAGUUGGAUUUUGGUGUUUGACAAAUGGUCUGCCUUACGGGUCUGCACUGUUUGUUGGCACUUCUUUUCUGGGGAACUCACUGCUCUUAAUUGAGGGGUGCUGUAACGCAGAUCGUUUACUUUGAAAAAAUUAGAGUGUUCAAAGCAGGCCAACGCAUUGAAUACAUUAGCAUGGAAUAAUGGAAUAGGACUUUGGUCUUAUUUUGUUGGUUUCUAAGGCCGAGGUAAUGAUUAAUAGGGAUAGUUGGGGGCGUUCAUAUUCCGUUGUCAGAGGUGAGAUUCUUGGAUUUACGGAAGAUAAACUACUGCGAAAGCAUUCGCCAAGGAUGUUUUCAUUAAUCAAGAACGA